UUUGAAAUUAGGGGCUGGGGGGAGGUGGGUUAUAAAGCUAAAAGAUGGAUUUGCAAAUAGGACUCAAAGUAUAAAGUAUAAGUGAUUUAAAUGACUAAGAAAAUGGGUUAAAUUAGGAGACCUAGCAAUAGGCCUGAUGCUGCCACUAAUCAGCUUGCAGACAUAUUUGGCAGAGGCAAACUGCCGAACUGGGUUCUAUGCUCCUGUAAAACCAACUUUCACAGAUAGGGUUGUUUGGCAUUCUGUAUGCAUAACUUCAAUUUUGCUUCCUUUGAAGACAGCUCGAGAUUGAAUGCAGACAAGGAAAGAAAAAACCACCUUCAGGAACCAACUGUUUAUAGAUAAUAUUAGAUUCAUGGAAUAUUAGACAAUAAAGAACCUAGCUCAUGUAGAUUCGCUAACAAGGAACUUGUUGCGCAGAAUAAUCACCGAGUAACACAGGUCUCCUUAUUCCCAACCUCAAGGUUAUUUCUUCCACAUUAACUACUAAUGUAUUUUCUCCAUAUGUUCAAGGAACUAAUGAAUGUCUACCGAUUUAAAUUUUGUUGACAAAGUUUAUUUUUAAUUUUUAAAUAUACUACAACAGCGAGGAAUUAGCAGGGACUUUGGAGCCAGACAGACCCUGUUUAAAGUGGGGAUUGUGAGGAUAAAAUAAUAAAUGAUAUUAACAAAUAUUGAGCACUUUUAGAUGCCAGAAACAAUCCUAAGGGCUUUUCGUAUUUUCAUUUAAUUCUCACAAUAACUUUGGUAAAGUUACUAGCCCUACUUUGCAGAUGGGGAAACAGAUGCAGAAACUGUAAGUAGUUUGGACAAAGUCGUAUAGCAAGUAAGUGGCUCCAGUUUGAAACCUACAGACAUAAUUACUAUACUAUACUGUCUCAAAAUAUGUCCAGAAACAAGUGGAAAACUUGGCAUAAUACUAGAUGCACACUGGAAGCUCAACAAAUAUUUUUUGUAAGCUGUCUGCCCUUUAGUCAAUGAAUACAAAUGUCAUUUUAUAUAAGAUGUGUGCAUUCAAAAUAAAGCAACUAGGAAACCUAGACUGAUAGACCUGGUUGGCUUUGUUUGACUGUCACCAAUUCUCUACCUCGGAAACUGUGAUUGUUAUAUUGAUUACUAUUUGUUGCUGCUCUUUUAUUUCUCCAGAAAAAGAUUCUCCGCAUUCUUCAUUUUCAUGUCGGUACCUUCUCAGUUCCCAGUAAUUAAUUCUAAAUACGUGUGUUUAAGGUGAAACUAGCUGAAAUGAGGUUAGGCAUAUUACUGUAAAUUUAAAACGAGUAAUUUCUAGGAAUUGCUGUAAGAUCCUUAAGGAGUCACUAGGUGGAGAUGUUGUGAGGUACAAAGAUUGUUCUUGGAAAUAGCCUGAAGGAUUGUUGAACAUUGCUGGUUUUCUUGUUUCCCUUUUUUCUUUUUCUUUUUUUUCCUCAAGUAUAAAGAAAACCAAAUAGACAAGGGCUUCUCAACAGGCAUUAUAGUCAGACCAUAGAACCUUGCCAUAGAUGAGACAGUGUUGUUUAAAGACCCUUCCCAUACUUAACAUUGUAUGUCAUUUUGGUUAGAUUUCUUCUAAGAUUUUAUUAUCCAAAAGUUUAUUAAUAGGUAUACUUUUCAAAUGCUAUAAAAACUAAUUUCUGCGUGUACAAUUAAAGAAAUGGCCUUUAACUUUAUUUCUCAAGGCUGCCAGAGAAAGAGAUCCAAAACACUUUUAUCAGCUAGAAUUCUUCAGUAACAGAUUCCAAAUUAGGAUUUGUUUUAAGAUUAUUUGAGCUUAUGGGAAAAGGUAAUCCAAAUGAGUAAGAAGGAAGAAGAUCAGCAAUGUAAAGGUGUUUGUGACUGAAAAGAAAAGUUGAAAGAUACUUGGCAUAUGAGGGAGAAAAUAGAAGGGGAUCUCUGCAAACACCAGAAAGAGAAAUAAUAGUGACUGUGUGACUUGGGAAGUAAAAGUUAUCAAUAAAAAAUUGGAAGGAGCCGGGUGUGGUGGCACACACCUGUAGUCCUAACUACUCUGAGUUAGGCUGAGACAAGAGGAUUGCUUAAGCCCAGGAGUUUGAGGCUGCAGUGAGCUGUGACCGUGCCACAGCACUCCAGCCUGGAUGAUAGAGUGAAACCCUGUCUCAGAAAAAAAAAAAAAAGGAAGAGAUGCAAAAUACAAGUGGUUAAAAAUAGUCUGAAUACGUGUAUUUUCCCCAUAUGAAAUGCAAGCUUUUCUAUUACUUGGAAGUUAUUUUCAUAUACAUUCUGCAAAAUACAACCCCCCACAAAGGAAAGAGAAGCAAUGGGAAAUCUUUAAAAUGUUUCAAAUCCAACUUAGUCCUCUGUUCCAUAGAAACAAGCCUGUGCAGUGGUCUGGUUUAUUUUCCAUGUGUUGGAGCUUCUUCAGCUUCCUUUAUCACUGUGGCAGUGAUGACUCAGAUCCACCAAAAACAUGGCAACUACUUGCAUGUUUAUAGAAUUAAUGAUCUGUAGCACAUCACUCAGGAGCAAGGAACUCUUUAAUGUGGUGACUCUUCAACUGAAAUAUCAUCUCAAACCUGUUUUGGAAGUGUGGAUUUGGGGUUUUGUUUUAUUUUAUGUGUGUAGUAAGUAUGUUUAUUCUAAUUCACUGACCCUUACUUUCUUAUCCUAGUUUAAUGCAUUCUGCCUGACAGACGAAUUUGAAUUUUUCAUUAUACUGGAAGGUGAGCAUCAGCACCAAGAUGACUCUAUGUGGCGGGACAGUCGUAAAGCGAACAGAAACCAGUUCUCUCACAGGUGUGGAGGAUAACAGGAAAUAGCAGAUAAAUGAGAAUCAAGCAGAUUCUCCUGGAACACAUCCACAGGCUGAAGGCAGAGAAGGCCUACAGGAAGCCACUGGCUAACCAGAUAGGCCCCCAAGAUUAAGACCAAGGAAGUACAGGAGUGCCCCGAGGAGCCGCUUCAGGCCAAGAAGGAGGUAACCAAGACUCUGUCCAAGCAGGAAGAGAUCAAGUCGUGAAGGUCCCCCUCUCUUACAAACCCACAAGGAAGAUGAAACAUUUAAUAAAAGGAGAAAAUACAGGCCAGGCGGGGUGGCUCACACCUGUAAUCCUAGCACUUUGGGAGGCCAAG